UCCUCACUGUGCUGGACACAGCUGCCUCCAGCUGGCUUAAGGUAGCCAGGGGAAGACUGAGUAACUCUGAAUAAUUCUGAACACCUGGCUAUUGUUCAUCAUGGAUGCUGGAGCUAUGACCAGCCAGAACAUCAAGAACUUUUCUCCCUCUUAAGAGCCAAUAAACUUCCAGUUUUUAGGUUUGGUGUA